rnacentral:rRNA from 1 species
UACGAAGGGGGCUAGCGUUGUUCGGAAUUACUGGGCGUAAAGCGCACGUAGGCGGAUAUUUAAGUCAGGGGUGAAAUCCCAGAGCUCAACUCUGGAACUGCCUUUGAUACUGGGUAUCUUGAGUAUGGAAGAGGUAAGUGGAAUUCCGAGUGUAGAGGUGAAAUUCGUAGAUAUUCGGAGGAACACCAGUGGCGAAGGCGGCUUACGUGGGCCGAGCACUGACGCUGAGGCGCGAAGCGUGGGGAGCAAACA